rnacentral:rRNA from 1 species
AGAGUUUGAUCCUGGCUCAGGACGAACGCUGGCGGCGUGCCUAACACAUGCAAGUCGAGCGGAGGGAUACGAGGAGCAAUCUGAGGAUUCCUGAGCGGCGGACGGGUGAGUAACGCGUGGGCAACCUGCCUUGCACUGGGGGAUAACGCGGCGAAAGCCGCACUAAUACCGCAUAAGACCACAAGGGCCGCAUGGUCCGGGGGUCAAAGGAGCAAUCCGGUGGAAGAUGGGCCCGCGUCCGAUUAGGUAGUUGGUGGGGUAAAGGCCUACCAAGCCUGAGAUCGGUAGCCGACCUGAGAGGGUGAUCGGCCACACUGGAACUGAGACACGGUCCAGACUCCUACGGGAGGCAGCAGUGGGGAAUAUUGGGCAAUGGGGGAAACCCUGACCCAGCAACGCCGCGUGAGGGAAGAAGGUCCUCGGAUUGUAAACCUCUGUUCCUGGAGAAGAGAAGAAGACGGUAUCCAGGGAGGAAGCCCCGGCUAACUACGUGCCAGCAGCCGCGGUAAUACGUAGGGGGCAAGCGUUAUCCGGAAUUAUUGGGCGUAAAGCGUGCGUAGGCGGUUUAUUAAGUCAGUUGUAAAAGAUCACAGCCCAACUGUGUAGGGCAAUUGAAACUGGUAGACUUGAGUACGGUAGAGGUAAGUGGAAUUCCAUGUGUAGCGGUGGAAUGCGUAGAUAUAUGGAGGAACACCAAUGGCGAAGGCAGCUUACUGGGCCGGAACUGACGCUGAGGCACGAAAGCGUGGGGAGCAAACAGGCUUAGAUACCCUGGUAGUCCACGCCGUAAACGAUGAGAACUAAGUGUUGGAGUGAAAUUCAGUGCUGAAGUUAACGCAUUAAGUUCUCCGCCUGGGUAGUACGGUCGCAAGACUGAAACUCAAAGGAAUUGACGGGAGCCCGCACAAGCGGUGGAGCAUGUUGUUUAAUUCGAAGAUACACGAAAAACCUUACCAGGUCUUGACAUACCAUUGACGGGGUCAGAGAUGACUCGUUCCUUCGGGACAAUGGAUACAGGUGGUGCAUGGUUGUCGUCAGCUCGUGCCGUGAGGUGUUGGGUUAAGUCCCGCAACGAGCGCAACCCUUAUUGCUAGUUGCCAACAAGAGAGAUGGGGACUCUAGUGAGACUGCCAGUGACAAACUGGAGGAAGGUGGGGAUGACGUCAAAUCAUCAUGCCCUUUAUGACCUGGGCUACAAACGUACUACAAUGGCCACUACAAAGAGAAGCGAGGCGGUGACGCGGAGCGAACCUCAGAAAAGUGGUCUCAGUUCAGAUUGAAGUCUGCAACUCGACUUCAUGAAGGCGGAAUCGCUAGUAAUCGCGAGUCAGCAGAUCGCGGUGAAUACGUUCCCGGGUCUUGUACACACCGCCCGUCAAACCAUGAGAGUUUGUAACACCCGAAGCCGGUGGCCGAACCCGAAAGGGGAGGAGCCGUCUAAGGUGGGACAGAUGAUUAGGGUUAAGUCGUAACAAGGUAUCCCUACGAGAACGUGGGGAUG